rnacentral:rRNA from 1 species
CGUAAUAUUAGUUGAAUGACCUGGGAAGGUCAACCAUAGAAAGUGACAGUCUUGUAAGCGAAAAUACUACGACUCUUUGAAAUAUGUUCCCAAGUACCACGAAAUAAGUGGAAGUUUGUGGGAAUCCGGGAGAACCAUCUCCUAAGACUAAAUACUCUCUUGUGACCGAUAGUGAACCAGUACCGUGAGGGAAAGGUGAAAAGAACCCUUAUUAAGGGAGUGAAAUAGUACCUGAAACCAUGUGCUUACAAACGGUUGGAGUCCCGAUUUAUCGGGAUGACAGCGUGCCUUUUGGAUAAUGAGCCUACGAGUUACUCGUCUGUUGUUGGUUAAGUUCUUCAGGAACGUAGCCUUAGCGAAAGCAAGUCCUAACAGGGCGUAUAAAAUAACAGGCGGUAGACGCGAAACCGGGUGAUCUACCCUUGGUCAGGAUGAAGUGAGGGUAAAACCUCAUGGAGGUCCGAACUAGUGUGGGUUGAAAACCGCUUGGAUGAACUGAGGGUAGGGGUGAAAGGCU